UCCUUCAUUUAGAAGAUUAUCAAAGAGAAAGUACAUCCAUGAUGUGCCGGAUGUCUUUAUCCUCAGUUACAUAAUUAUGAAUGAUUGAUGUCUGAUAAUAAACUAGCUAACCAACCAUAGGGGUGUCGGCAACAGUGACGAAGAUUUGGACACGGUUGGGCCUUAAGUCCUGGGUCACCCACGUAUCGACUGGCAGGACCUCUAUCUCAGCAUCAGGCUUGUCCUUGAGGAUGAUCUCCUUGGCCUUCUCAACAGACAUCUCGACGACCUCUGGCCACGACAUCUUCACACGGCUGGCUGCUGUGCCCCCUCCCGCAGGCUCUGGAUACUUCACGGUGCUUUAUCCAUGGAACUCAUGUUCUACAGUGAACUCUUGGAUCAAGAAAAUUAAAGCGGUAAGCAUGAUAUAACCCCUGAGGAAAAAUUGGUAAACAAAGGAGCACAAGUCAGUACAACUCACCUGAAGAAUUGAUUAAAUGUUUGUAGCUAAGUAAGAAGAUGUUGAUGGUAUAGCAUCCCCUUAUCUUGUGCGGCAUUUAUUAUCCGGUCCUCAAUAUAAGCCUUUUUAGAGAUUCCAAUGCAUUCUACAUAUGAAGCAAAGUGAGUGAAUCUACACUGUUAAAUGUGUCUAUAUACAUUCGUGUAUAGUCCACAUUGAAAUCUCUAAAACGGAAGGAUUAGCUAGUUAACUAAGUUGAGGAGCACUACAACUGCAGAAAACGGCUAUGGUUCAUUGAGCUCCUAGCUACAAGUCGAUGGACCUGUGAAUCACGUGGUACGCUCUCGUCCUCCUUAGCAUCCGUACGUGUUAUCCAUCACGAAAUCCAGUCCGGCCAAUCAGCAUCUUAUCUCGUGUAUCACGCGCCUUCCACUGGGUACAUGCAUGCAUGUGAGGGCAUGCACCUUCUGUGCACAUAACACAGUGCCGCAUAUAUCGAUCUCCCCUAUAAGUAGACAUCCAUGCAAUGCGUUUAUGCAGCAUCAAGAUACCAACUAAGUUGAGAAGAUUAAGUAAUAGGCUUGCUUUUGUGCAUCAAGAUACCAUCCAUUCAGCCGGCUGGUCCAUCAACGAUGAGCUCCACAGAUGCCCCAGUUGGCACUGGAGGCCUCGCCGGCGAGUCGUGGCAGAAGUCAUGGCCAGAGGCGGUGGGCAAGUCCAUAAAGGAGGCCAGGGAGAUCAUACUCAAAGAUAAGCCCGACGCCGACAUCGUCGUGCUGCCAGCCGGGUCGCCGGUGACCCGGGACUUGAGGCCCAACCGCGUGCGCAUCUUCGUCGAUACCGUCGCCGACACACCCUUUACUGGCUAGCUCUAGCUUUGCAGGCCCGAAGGAAUGCAUGCCUGCGCCAUGCAUGCAUGCAUGCGCGUGAAUAAGUUUUUAGUAAUGGAUGAAUAAAUGCUAGCACGUGUCCGCUGGAUCCACUAGCUUUCAGUUC